rnacentral:lncRNA from 1 species
GGCCUCAAAUUGCUUAAGAUGUGCUUUCAGUCCUAACUAGACAAUCUCCUGCUUUACAUGUAGUUGCUUUGCAUAUCCUGUAAAUAAUUUCUUGGCACGCCCAUUCUGCCAUGUCAACGAUGAUGAUCUAAUUAUGAUUUCUGCCAAUGGAUGGAUCCACAUGAUGCGACGGACCUGCUGCUGCCGGCUGUCUUCCCCGACCACUUCUGUGAGCUGCUCCUGCCGCUGACCCUCUUCAACUUCGCCCGUUGCCCGCUGUUGCUGCUGGUGAGACAAUUUCCUUGAUCUGUCGCUUCUUCCUCCUGUCAACUACAUAUGUGAUGAUUCUCUAACUGCUCUAGUUUGGGUGUAGCUGCUACUGUAUUUUGAUCUGUUGCCGGCUUCAUAUGUUAGCUUCACAUUUUGAUCUGUUGAACUGUCCCAGAUUAUGUCAAUUUGUUACCAACAAGUUAGAGUUAAAGCAACUCAUUUGGCUUUUGCUCACUAUUUUACUAUCCUGUGUUGCUCAUACUGUAGGUACAACUUGUUGCUGAACUGAAGAUGCUAUUUGCUUCACAUUUUUAUUUGUUGAACUA